CCUACGGGGGGCUGCAGUGGGGAAUAUUGGACAAUGGGGGCAACCCUGAUCCAGCCAUGCCGCGUGUGUGAAGAAGGCCCUCGGGUUGUAAAGCACUUUCAGUGAGGAAGAACGCCUGGUGGUUAAUACCCAUCAGGAAAGACAUCACUCACAGAAGAAGCACCGGCUAACUCCGUGCCAGCAGCCGCGGUAAUACGGAGGGUGCGAGCGUUAAUCGGAAUUACUGGGCGUAAAGCGCGCGUAGGUGGCUUGAUAAGCCGGUUGUGAAAGCCCCGGGCUCAACCUGGGAACGGCAUCCGGAACUGUCAAGCUAGAGUGCAGGAGAGGAAGGUAGAAUUCCCGGUGUAGCGGUGAAAUGCGUAGAGAUCGGGAGGAAUACCAGUGGCGAAGGCGGCCUUCUGGACUGACACUGACACUGAGGUGCGAAAGCGUGGGUAGAAAACAGGAUUAGAUACCCUGGUAGUA
rnacentral:rRNA from 1 species